AAAUACAAAUACAACUAACUACUCCACAGAACACCGAAGCAAUAAAUCUUACAGAACUAAGUUCUUAUUACUAACAUCACAUUAAUCUCAUCUCAUUGUUUUCCCUUAUUCAACAACAACAACAACAACAACAAAACUUGUCAAUCACCGCCAUACACGUGUACGGUGAUUGACAUGGACACUCCUCUUCUCUACGGCACGGCGGAGUCGUCAUCGU
rnacentral:lncRNA from 1 species